AGUGAACGCUGGCGGUAGGCCUAACACAUGCAAGUCGAACGGCAGCACAGUAAGAGCUUGCUCUUACGGGUGGCGAGUGGCGGACGGGUGAGGAAUACAUCGGAAUCUACUUUUUCGUAGGGGAUAACGUAGGGAAACUUACGCUAAUACCGCAUACGACCUACGGGUGAAAGCAGGGGAUCUUCGGACCUUGCGCGAUUGAAUGAGCCGAUGUCGGAUUAGCUAGUUGGCGGGGUAAAGGCCCACCAAGGCGACGAUCCGUAGCUGGUCUGAGAGGAUGAUCAGCCACAUUGGAACUGAGACACGGUCCAGACUCCUACGGGAGGCAGCAGUGGGGAAUAUUGGACAAUGGGCGCAAGCCUGAUCCAGCCAUACCGCGUGGGUGAAGAAGGCCUUCGGGUUGUAAAGCCCUUUUGUUGGGAAAGAAAAGCAGCAGGUUAAUACCCCGCUGUUCUGACGGUACCCAAAGAAUAAGCACCGGCUAACUUCGUG
rnacentral:rRNA from 1 species